rnacentral:tRNA from 1 species
AAGAGAGUGACAGAUGGUUAUGUGACCGGUUUGAAACCGGGGUAAGGGGGUUCAAUUCCCUCCUUUCUUG